rnacentral:rRNA from 1 species
GGAUUGAGCCCCGCCCCAGUUUCUUAGGGGGGGCAGCAGGGGGAAUAUUGCGCAAUGGCGAAAGCCUGACGCAGGGACGCCGCGUGGGGAUGACGGCCUUCGGGUUGUAACCUCUUUCAGCAGGACGAAGCGAAAGUGACGGUACCUGCAGAAGAAGCACCGGCCAACUACGUGCCAGCAGCCGCGGUAAUACGUAGGGUGCAAGCGUUGUCCGGAAUUAUUGGGCGUAAAGAGCUCGUAGGCGGUUUGUUGCGUCGGCUGUGAAAACCUGAGGCUCAACCUCAGGCCUGCAGUCGAUACGAGCAGACUAGAGUGUUGCAGGGGAGACUGGAAUUCCUGGUGUAGCGGUGAAAUGCGCAGAUAUCAGGAGGAACACCGGUGGCGAAGGCGGGUCUCUGGGCAACAACUGACGCUGAGGAGCGAAAGCGUGGGGAGCGAACAGGAUUAGAUACCCUGGUAGUCCACGCCGUAAACGUUGGGCGCUAGGUGUGGGGCUCAUUCCACGAGUUCCGUGCCGCAGCUAACGCAUUAAGCGCCCCGCCUGGGGAGUACGGCCGCAAGGCUAAAACUCAAAGGAAUUGACGGGGGCCCGCACAAGCGGCGGAGCAUGUUGCUUAAUUCGAUGCAACGCGAAGAACCUUACCUAGGCUUGACAUGCACGGAAAUCCUCCAGAGAUGGUGGGUCCGCAAGGGCCGUGCACAGGUGGUGCAUGGUUGUCGUCAGCUCGUGUCGUGAGAUGUUGGGUUAAGUCCCGCAACGAGCGCAACCCUCGUUCUAUGUUGCCAGCACGUCAUGGUGGGGACUCAUAGGAGACUGCCGGGGUCAACUCGGAGGAAGGUGGGGAUGACGUCAAAUCAUCAUGCCCCUUAUGUCUAGGGCUGCAAACAUGCUACAAUGGCCGGUACAAAGGGCUGCGAUACCGCGAGGUGGAGCGAAUCCCAAAAAGCCGGUCUCAGUUCGGAUUGGGGUCUGCAACUCGACCCCAUGAAGUUGGAGUCGCUAGUAAUCGCAGAUCAGCAACGCUGCGGUGAAUACGUUCCCGGGCCUUGUACACACCGCCCGUCACGUCACGAAAGUCGGUAACGCCCGAAGCCGGUGGCCCAACCCUUGUGGAGGGAGCCGUCGAAGCGAUCGCCAUUGU